GAGUUUGAUCAUGGCUCAGAUUGAACGCUGGCGGCAUGCCUUACACAUGCAAGUCGAGCAGCAGCGCGGGGGCAACCCUGGCGGCGAGCGGCGAACGGGUGAGUAAUACAUCGGAACGUGUCCUGUCGUGGGGGAUAACCAGUCGAAAGAUUGGCUAAUACCGCAUGACCUCGUAAGAGAAAAGCGGGGGACCGUAAGGCCUCGCGCGACUGGAGCGGCCGAUGUCGGAUUAGUUAGUUGGCGGUGUAACGGACCACCAAGACGAUGAUCAGUAGGGGACCUGAGAGGGUGAUCCCCCACACUGGCACUGAGAUACGGGCCAGACUCCUACGGGAGGCAGCAGUAGGGAAUAUUGGACAAUGGGUGAGAGCCUGAUCCAGCCAUGCCGCGUGCAGGAAGAAGGCGUUAUGCGUUGUAAACUGCUUUUGCCAGGGGAUAAAAAA
rnacentral:rRNA from 1 species